rnacentral:rRNA from 1 species
AAGAGUUUGAUCCUGGCUCAGAGCGAACGUUAGCGGCAUGCCUUACACAUGCAAGUCGAACGGCAGCACGGGAGCUUGCUCCUGGUGGCGAGUGGCGAACGGGUGAGUAAUACAUCGGAACGCACCCUGAAGUGGGGGAUAACGUAGCGAAAGUUACGCUAAUACCGCAUAUUCUGUGAGCAGGAAAGAGGGGGAUCGCAAGACCUCUUGCUUUAGGAGCGGCCGAUGUCGGAUUAGCUAGUUGGUGAGGUAAAGGCUCACCAAGGCGACGAUCCGUAGCGGGUCUGAGAGGAUGAUCCGCCACACUGGGACUGAGACACGGCCCAGACUCCUACGGGAGGCAGCAGUGGGGAAUUUUGGACAAUGGGGGCAACCCUGAUCCAGCCAUGCCGCGUGAGUGAAGAAGGCCUUCGGGUUGUAAAGCUCUUUCGGCCGGGAAGAAAUCGCAUGGGUUAAUACCCUGUGCGGAUGACGGUACCGGCAUAAGAAGCACCGGCUAACUACGUG